ACCUGAAGGACGGCUUUCCUCAGCAACGGCAAGACCCGCACUCCUCUCAUAUCGUGAAGUUUAACGAGUUUCGCGGCUCAAGCAAGAGGCACCUGUCACUGAAGGACUGCUUUUCUCAUCAACGACGUGAACAGCUUUACUCGAAUUUCCUGGUUCAGCUGAUCUACCCGUCUUCGUACAAGCAGAGUUGGCAGAGGAGGUCAUAAAAAU